GUGCUUGCUUCGGCAGCACACGUGACUAAAAUUGGAACGACGCAGAGAAGACUGGCAUGGUCCCUGCGCAGGGAUGACACAUAGAUUCAUGAGAAUAGUGUCGUAACA
ensembl:snRNA U6 U6 spliceosomal RNA